AUACUGCCGACGUGUCCAAAACUAGGACGAAACAGCUGUCCAGUAC
rnacentral:hammerhead_ribozyme from 1 species